rnacentral:rRNA from 1 species
AUUGAACGCUGGCGGCAGGCCUAACACAUGCAAGUCGAACGUGAAAGCUCCUUCGGGAGUGAGUAGAGUGGCGAACGGGUGAGUAACGCGUAGGAAUCUACCCAAGAGUGGGGGACAACCCGGAGAAAUCCGGGCUAAUACCGCAUAUGCCCUACGGGGUAAAGUGGGGGACCUUUAGGGGCCUCACGCUUUUGGAUGAGCCUGCGUCGGAUUAGUUUGUUGGUAGGGUAAUGGCCUACCAAGGCGACGAUCCGUAGCUGGUCUGAGAGGAUGACCAGCCACACUGGGACUGAGACACGGCCCAGACUCCUACGGGAGGCAGCAGUGGGGAAUAUUGGACAAUGGGGGCAACCCUGAUCCAGCCAUGCCGCGUGUGUGAAGAAGGCCUUCGGGUUGUAAAGCACUUUCAGUAGGGAAGAAAAGCCUGAGGCUAAUACCCUUGGGUCUUGACGGUACCUACACAAGAAGCACCGGCUAAUUCCGUG